GCCCCUACCGCCCAGCUCCCCCAACCCCCAGGGUCCGGUCCGCCCCCGCGCCUCGGAGCCCCGGUCUUGCCUGGUUGGGGUCUGUGGCUCGGAAAACGUGGCAAGCCAUCUGCGACUCGGGGUCGUCGGGCUGCGCCUUGAUCAGGAAGAAGAACUGUGUCAUGUCGAUGUUUAAAAAAAAAUUUAGGAAUCACAUUUUGGAGAUGGAAGAAUUUUGGUUGAAAUAAAGACCACUGCUCAGAAACAAAUGAAAGUACAAGUGAUACAAUUCUCAGAAGACAAAGUCCCUGGUUGUUGGGAAACAAAAGGCAGAGAGUGCAUCUGGUUGAGCAAAUGGAGAAGAACUAGCACAGGUUUUAAGAUGAGAUGCUGUUUGUGAUUCCAACAACUUCGUUUCUCAACACAAUGCCAAGCAUAUUUCUGCCAAGCAUAUGGUAUGGAUAAUAAUUACUAUUUUAGGAGCUAGUGACAUCAACCAUGGAGAAUGCUAACAAUGAGAAAGAAAGACUGCCUGGGAAAUCCCCAAGGGACAUUAACACUUAAGAAAAAGACAGACACAAACCUAGCAUUAGAAGGAUGAACCAGAGACAUAGGAGUAAUGUGAAAACCAAGCCAAAAGAAAAAAGAAAAGUGGACUAGAUUCCUACAUGUUGCAUUGCACAUCAAAUGAGGUAGUGACUGAAACGUUUCCAUGCAGGAAAACUAUGGGCAGGUUGUUGGUGACCACAGUGAAAGUGCAUUUAGUGGGCGCCAGAGAAGCAAAAGUCCCAAUUCUAUGGACUGUAGUUUGAAUGCAAGAUGAAGACAUGGGAAUGCUGAAUACAGGCACAAUGUCUGUAGUGCCUGACUUUGAAGAGAAAAACAAUCACAGGAUACUACCUGAAGAAGGGACUAUAGUUUAAGUACUGUUUGUUUCUGUUUGUGUUUUCAGUUUGGCUUGAUUAAAUUGGUUUCUGUUUGGGAGAAAACAUUGAGCCUGGUUAAAUGUUAAUAAAAAGCAACUAGCAGAGGAAAAGAACAUGCAUCUACAAAACAGAAAGCUGUCCAUCACUCCGUGGAGCAUGGUGCCUGUUAGAAGGUAGAUGCUCACUGAGUAUUAUUAAAUACAGGAAUGCAUUCCUUGAGAAGGCACGAAGGCAUUUAAUCCAGAAACAGUGAAAAAAUUAUCAGUAGACAAGAUACAAGAUACUUGUUCCAUUAAAAAGGCAAAAAGAAAAUAAGUGUGGAUGCAGGUAAUUUGAUAGGUAAGCUGUCAAAAACUUAAGAAAAUCCCAUCUGAUGACUUCUCAUUUUUUUAACGUUUACUUACUCAUUUUUAUUUAUUUAAAAGACAGAGACUGAAAGAGAGAGAGAGAUGAAUAAAUAUUCCAUUUGCUGGUCUACUCUGCAAAUGCCCACAACAGCCAGGGCUGUGCCAGGACGAAGCCAGGAGCCGAGAACUCCACCUGGGUCUCCCAAAUGAAUGGCAGGGACUCAAGCGUUUGAGUCAUCAUCCGCUGCUUUCCCAGGUGCAGUAUCAGGAAGCUGGAUUGGAAGCAGAGGUGGGACCGGGUCCCGGGCACUCUGAUAUGGGAUGCAAGCAUCCAAGUGGCAGCUCUAUUGGCUGUGCCAUAAUGCCUACUUCUCCAUCUGCUGACUUCCGUUUUCUCUGUGCAAUGAAAGAUGAGGUCCUCUGAGGCAAAUAAAGAGGAGGAUAAACUGGGAGGACUGAGAAGAAUGACAAAGAUUGAUGAAAUAAUCUCCAAAAGGAUGCUUUGGAUAAACGUCCCUCAAACAGCUGCCAAACCCUGCAGUGUGUACAGUGGCAAGCAACAGGGGUCACCCAGGGGAUACUACCCAAACAGGGCUUCAGGGCUGAGUCAGAAGGCUGCAUCAUCAGCUGGCACUUGUUCCUGUUCCUUUAGGCCAGAACUCAGUACUUGUCCUCUCCUUUGCUUUGUGGCACCAGAUUGAAUGCACACUGAUCGCUCCAUGGGAUGAAACAACCUUGGAAAAUCUUGCUUCCCUUGUCAUUCCACCUCAAGGAGAUUUCUUAGAGCUCAGUUCUGAGACUUGCCUGCCCAGACACUGGGCACCAAACUUCAAAGCAACAAACUAGAAAAUAAAGGGCAAGAAGUGGGGUGCAGAAGACUGAAUGCGUGUGCCCUGCCUCCCCACCAAAUUCAUUCGUUGAUGUCCUAAUCCACAGUGUGAUGAUAUUUGGAGGAGGAGCCUUCUGGGAAGUAAGAUCAUCAAGGCUGUGCCCUUGGAUGAAACACGAAGAAUCUGCUUCCUCUCUCAGCCAUGUGAGUAUCCCGGAAGUAGACUUGUGUCUACAAGCAAGGAAGCAGACCCUCACCAGACGUGGGGUCUACUAGCACUUUGAUCUUGAACUUCCCAAGCUCCAGAAUAACAAGAAACAAAUGUCUAUUCUUUAAGUCACCCAACCUAUGGCAUUUUUGUUACAGUGUUGUGAACCAAGAGACAGUAGGCCUGCUUCAUGGAUUAUUCAAACUUCCCCCAGAGUCUGUGUCACCUUUAUGGAGAGAUGAAAGGGCAGUGAAAACCUGCCCUUGACCUCUGCUCUAGUCUCACACGUGGCGGACACUGGAAAGGACAUCUCCCCUAAGAGAUUUUUCUACCAGUCCAGAGAAAUGUGAUCUUCGCCUAUGGCCCCGAUAAGAAAUCUCUGUCAGGAUAUAAUGCAGAAAAUCUACCACCUCUUUGAGGGAGAAAAUAGUUGUAUAACAGGUGGGUUUUUUUUUUUAACAGACAAAUUCCCAAAUAUGUGUAAGGAUAAGUAUUACAACCCUAUGUGAAAAUCAAACACAGGAAUGAAGAAAAUAACUGUAUGUUGGUUUUAUUUUUUUUAAUGAUUGACUUAUUUAUUUGAAGGCAGAGUUACAGAGGAAAAGGCAGACACACACACACACACAGAGAGAGAGAGAGAGAGAGAGAGAUCUUCAUCCACUAUUUCACUACCCAGAUGGCUUUAAUGGCUGGAGCUGUGCCGAUCCGGAGCCAGGAGCCAGGAGCUUCCUCUGGGUCUCCCAUGUUGGUGUAGGGGCCCAAAGACCUGGGCCAUCUUCCACUGCUUUCCCAGGCCAUAGCAGAGAGCUGGAUUGGAACUGGAGCAGCCGGCACUCAAACCGGCACCCAUAUGGAAUGCCGGCACUGCAGGCAGCGACUUUACCCGCUAUGUCACAGCUCCAGCCCCCAUAGGUUGUUUUAAUCACAUAAAAUUAUACAUGUAAAGUAUUUUUUAAGCAAUUCUAGGAAAUUUUAAUUCAAUUCUCAUCAAAAUUGCACAGGAUGCUAAACAAACCCUUGAAUAACGUAGUUUCAUGGAGAAUUUUGCUGAAGUAAUUAUCUAGUAAUGAGAUUGCUUAAGAGAAAGCACUAAAAACACUGGACAGAUUUUCUUUGGGCAAAAGUGUGGGAAGAAAUGGAAGAAAUACAAAAUUAUGUCUGAGGAGUUAAAACACUCCACGACACAGUAGAACAGCCUCUAUGGAUGCUAAAUUUUCUCGUCAUUUCGCUAUAAUGUGUAUUAGAAAACUUAUUUAGACCAGACAAUGUAUUUUAUGAUUAUGGCCUAUAACUCUAAAGAAUCGCUAAUCUCUGUUUUGGAUCAUUAAGCUCCAUAUAUAACUUUGAUUGAAAUUCCACUUGUCUCCAAGCUACCCAUGAUAAUAUUCCAUAAUUUAAAGUAAUUCUGCCUUGCUAAGUGAUCAAUUGCUUUCUUUACAUUAAAGAUAGUGAGAAGAGGAUCUCUAAAAGAGGCUAUUUUUUAAAAUUGUUACUUGCAAAAGUAACAGAAGAAGAGGGAGUGAAGGAAGCUAGAAAAUCUACUUUCUUGGGUCCUCUUGCCUAUUUUACUGCAUUUUAAAGUAAGAAAAAGGAAAAAGGGCCGGCACUGUGGCACAGUGGGUUAAUGCCCUGGCCUGCAGUGCCAGAAUCCCACAUGGGCUCCGGUUCGAGCUCCAGCUGCUCCAGUUCUGAUCCAGCUCUCUGCUAUGGCCUGGGGAAGCAUAGAAGACGGCCCAGGUCCUUGGGCCCCUACACCUAUGUGGGAGACCCAGAAGAAGCUCCUGGUUCCUGGCUUUGGAUCGGCACAGUUCCAGCCGUUGUGGCCAAUUGGGGAGUGAACCAGCAGAUGGAAGACCUCUCUCUCUUUCUCUUUCUCUUUCUCUCUCUCUCCCUUUCCUCUCUAUCUGUAACUCUGACUUGCAAAUAAAUAAAUAAAUCUAAAAAAAUGAAAAAAUACUUUAAAAAAAGAAAAGAAAAAAAUGUAAUUACAUCCCUGAAAAUUAUAAGAAAAAGAAAAAUAAGAGGCAGAAUAGCAUCCCCAUAAACACUGAGGGAAACACUUCAAAAAGACAUGCCACAAAAUGUGAAAUCAUAAAAUACAACAUUGAAAAAUAAACUAAGAUAAAAUUAGGAAAAAUACACAUGCUAUGAAAGAAUAACAGACCCACAUUAGAGAAAUUUGAAUUAUAUUGGAACAGAAUAUGGGGUCAUAAAGUAAGCAUGCUGAGACGUCUCCUGAACUUCUGUCAUCCCUUUUUAAUCUAGAACUUCGAGCUUGGACCUGAGCCCAUUAUUCUCUAGAACAAUUUCACUUUCGCCUCAGCCCUCUACAGUAUUAACAAGUAAUGGCAGAUAAAGCACAUGAAACUUUCAUUGAACAAGAGUCCAGUGAAAAAGCAAAAGAAACAGAGACAACAGAAAGGUAAAAUAUCGAGAUAGGCUAUCUUGUGUUAACAAAAGGACUGAGGAUUAUAAAAUACAAUGAAAAGAAAGAGAUGGAGAGUUAUAGUGGAAAGAAAUGCAGAUAUUCGACCUGAUGGAUCAGGUGAGGUCAAAAGUCUUCCAGCUAUCAGAGACCUAAGUGAAGCCAAUAGAGAGCAGGGUGGUAAAAAACCUCCACUGGAUGCCCGGUGUUGUGGAAACACUUGUCUUCUGGGAUAUGAAUCAGCUCCCAGUAAGUGUUCCUUGCAGGAACGAAUUCCUCCUUAUGGCAAAAACUGAAGUGCAAAAGUGAUUCCUACAUGCAGAAUGGCCAGUUAGAUAGUUGAUGUCUAAAACGAUCCGGAGACACCCCCCUGUGUGAGUAAAUAGCUGACAGUGCUGAAACCAAUGGUGAAAAUCACAAAAUAAAAAUGUCCAUUGCCAUGAAGAACUAGAUGGGUUUAAUAGCUCAGGAAUGAUGUCAGAAGUGUGGUGAGCCUUAUUUUAUGUGAGUGCCAAAAGAAAGCCAUUUUCGGAUAAAGCCAUUGGGAGGUGGAGUUUAUUUUACUGCUGUACUACCAUAAUGCGAAAGUAUCUAAUAUUUUAAGAAAAUUUUAUUUCCAAAUCAUUAUCUUUUUGACAUUCUGAUCUAGUUCUGUAUUUAUCAAUGAAAUAUCUAUUCCUUAGCUAUUGUUUCUGUUCUAAGCACUAACAUUUGAAGAAACAUUCAUUAAGGGAUCAGUAACAUGCCCUUAAUUCUAAAAGUAAGUUUCUAUUGAUUUUCAGCAUUAAGUUAAGAGGAUCAGAAAGAAAGAAAGAAAGAGAAAGAAAGAAAGAGAGAGAAAGAAAGAGAGAGAGAAAGAGAGGGUCGAGGCCGGCACUGUGGAGUAGCGGGUAAAGCCACCACCUUCGGUGCCAGCAUCCCAUAUGGGUGCUGGUUCUUAUCCAGCUCUCUGCUAUGGCCUGGGAAAGCAGUAGAAGAUGGCCCAAGUCCUUGGGCCUCUGCACCCACAUGGGAGACCCAGAAGAUGCUCCGGGAUCCUGGCUUCGGAUAGGUGCAGCUCUGGCCAUUGUGGCCAAUUAUGGAGUGAACCACUGGAUGGAAGACCUCUCUCUUUCUCUCUCUCUCUCUAACUCUGACUUUCAAAUAAAAUAAACAGAUCUAAAGGAAGGAAGGAAGGAAGGAAGGAAGGAAGGAAGGAAGGAAGGAAGAAAUAGAGGGACUCCUCCCAAAUUCUUUCAAUGAGGCCAGCAUCACCUUAAUUCCAAAACCAGAAAAAGAUACAACAAAGAAGACUGUAGACCAAUACCUCUGAUGAACAUAGGUGGAAAAAUCCUCAAAAAAUACUAACUAAUCAAAACUAACGACACAUCAGAAAGAUUAUUCACUCAGACCAAGUGGGAUCUAUCUCUGGUAUGAAGGGAUGGUUCAACAUAGGCAAAUCAAUAAAUGUGAUAUGUUGCAUUAACAAGUUGAAGAAUAAAAACUAAACAAUUAUUUCAAUAGAUACAGAAAAAGCAUUUGAUAAAAUACAACAUCCUUUCAUGAAAAAAAAAAAAAAAACUUAAGCAAAUUGGGUAUAAAAGGAACAGACCUCAACACAAUCAUGGUAGUAUAUGUCAAACCCACAACCAGCAUCAUAUUGAAUGGGGAAAAGCUGGAAGCAUUCCCACUAGGAUCUGGAACCAGACAAGGAAACCCACUCUCACCAUUACCCUUUCAUAUAGUUUUAGAAGUCCUAGCCAGAGCUAUUGGACAAGAAAAAGAAAAAGAAAAAUGUUAAAAGAAGAAAUCAGAUUGUCCUAUUUGUAGAUGAUAAGAUCCUGUACAUAGGGGAACCAAAAGACUGCACUAAGAGAUUACUGAACUCAUAAGAGACUUUGGCAAAGUUGCAGGAUAUAAAAUCAACAGACAAAAAUCAAUAGCCUUUACAUACAGAAACAAUUCCACGCCUGAGAAAGAACUUGUAAGAUCAGUCCCAUUCACAAUAGCUACAAAAAACAUUUAGGGGCCGGCGCCGUGGCUCACUAGGUUAAUCCUCCGCCUGCAGCACCAGCAUCUCAUAUGGGCACCAGGUUCUAGUCCCGGUUGCUCCUCUUCCAGUCCAGCUCUCUGCUGUGGCCAGGGAGUGCAGUGGAGGAUGGCCCAGGUGCUUGGGCCCUGCACCCCAUGGGAGACCAGGAGAAGCACCUGGCUCCUGGCUUCGGAUCAGCGCAACACCAGCCACAGCAGCCAUCUGGGGGGUGAACCAACGGAAGGAAGACCUUUCUCUCUGUCUCUCUCUCUCUCACUGUCUAUAACUCUACUUGUCAAAUAAAAAAAAUUUUAAAAUAUUUAAAUACCUUGGGAUAAAUUUAAUCAAGGAGCAAAAGGUCUCUACAAUAAAAAAUUAAAAAAAAAAUAAGGAAAGAAAUAGAAGACACAAAAAAUGGGAAAUAUCUCUUGUUCAUGGAUUGGAAGAAUUAAUUUUUUCAAAAUGUCCAUGGUGCCCAAAGCAAUUUACAGAUUCAAUGUGAUCCCAACCCUAAAGACAUUCUUCUCAAAUCUGGAAAAAUGGACUCACAAGAGACCUUAAAUAGUUAAAGUGAUCCCACACUAAAAAUAAAGCUAGAGGCAUCACACUACCUUAGUUCAAUAUAUAUUACAGGGCAGUUAUGAUCAAAACAGAUUGGUACUGGCAUAAAAGACAUGUCAGCUCAUGGAACAGACUAGAGACCCUAGAAAUUAUUCCAUUCAUCUACAACAACUAAUUGAGCUAAAAUAACUACCUGAAGAAAAGGUUGUAUCUUCAACAAAUGAUUUUGGGAAAAUUGCAUGUCUGCAUUCAGAAGUAUAAAACAAGACGCCUACCUUGGGGCCAGCGCUGUGGUGCAGUAGGUUGACCUGCAGCGCCGUCGUCCCAUAGGGGCACAGGUUCUAGUCUAGGUUGCUCCUCUUCCGAUCUAGCUCUCUGCUGUGGUCUUGGACAGCAGUAGAGGAUGGCCCAAGUCCUUGGGCCCCUGCAUCCAUGUGGGAGACCCAGAAGAAGCUCCUAACUCCCGACUUUGGAUCGGCACAGCUCUGGCCGUUGCAGUCAACUGGGGAGUGAACCAAUGGAAGGAAGACCUCUCUCUCUCUCUCUCUCUCUCAUUAUCUGUAACUCUAUCUCUUAAAUAAAUAAAUAAAAUCUUUUUUAAAAAGAAGACUCCUACCUUACAAAAAUCAACUCACAAUGGAUCACGGAUUUAAAUCUAAGACCUGGAACCAUCAAGUUACUAGAGUAAAACAAAGGAGAAACACUGCAUGAUACUGGCAUAGGCAAAAACUUCUUGGAUAAGACCCCAGCAGUACAGACAAUAAAGGCAAAAUAGAUGAAUGGGAUUACAUCAGGGUGAGAAACUUUUGCACAGCAAAGGAAACAGCAAAUUAAAAAGGCAACUGACAGAUUUAAAGAGCUCAAGAAAUUCAACAACAAAACAAAUAAUCCAAUUAGGAAAUGGGUUAAGGAUAUGAGCAGUCAUUUUUUAAAGGAGGAAAUACAAAUGGCCAACAGGCACAUGAGAAGAUACUCAUGAUAGCUAUCAUGGAAA